UUGAACGCUGGCGGCAGGCCUAACACAUGCAAGUCGCGCGGAUGAAGGGAGCUUGCUCCUGGAUUCAGCGGCGGACGGGUGAGUAAUGCCUAGGAAUCUGCCUGGUAGUGGGGGAUAACGUCCGGAAACGGGCGCUAAUACCGCAUACGUCCUGAGGGAGAAAGUGGGGGAUCUUCGGACCUCACGCUAUCAGAUGAGCCUAGGUCGGAUUAGCUAGUUGGUGGGGUAAAGGCCUACCAAGGCGACGAUCCGUAACUGGUCUGAGAGGAUGAUCAGUCACACUGGAACUGAGACACGGUCCAGACUCCUACGGGAGGCAGCAGUGGGGAAUAUUGGACAAUGGGCGAAAGCCUGAUCCAGCCAUGCCGCGUGUGUGAAGAAGGUCUUCGGAUUGUAAAGCACUUUAAGUUGGGAGGAAGGGCAGUAAGUUAAGACCUUGCUGUUUUGACGUUACCAACAGAAUAAGCACCGGCUAACUUCGU
rnacentral:rRNA from 1 species